rnacentral:rRNA from 1 species
GACGAACGCUGGCGGCGCGCCUCAUACAUGCAAGUCGAACGAGAAGCCCGGGCUUGCCCGGGUGGAGAGUGGCGAACGGGUGAGGAACACGUGAGGAACCUGCCCCGAAGACUGGGAUAACACCGGGAAACCGGUGCUAAUACCGGAUGCCCUCACCGGACCGCAUGAUCCGGUGAGGAAAUGGAUUCCGCUUCGGGAUGGCCUCGCGGCCUAUCCGCUUGUUGGUGGGGUAAUGGCCCACCAAGGCUUCGACGGGUAGCUGGUCUGAGAGGAUGUCCAGCCACACUGGGACUGAGACACGGCCCAGACUCCUACGGGAGGCAGCAGUAGGGAAUCUUGCGCAAUGAGCGAAAGCUUGACGCAGCGACGCCGCGUGCGGGAUGAAGGCCCUCAGGUCGUAAACCGCUUUCAGCAGGGACGAAACUGACGGUACCUGCAGAAGAAGGCCCGGCCAACUACGUGCCAGCCGCCGCAGUAACAC